rnacentral:rRNA from 1 species
UACGUAGGGUGCGAGCGUUAAUCGGAAUUACUGGGCGUAAAGCGUGCGCAGGCGGUUCGUUAAGUCAGAUGUGAAAGCCCCGGGCUCAACCUGGGAACUGCAUUUGUGACUGCACGGCUGGAGCGCGGCAGAGGGGGAUGGAAUUCCGCGUGUAGCAGUGAAAUGCGUAGAUAUGCGGAGGAACACCGAUGGCGAAGGCAAUCCCCUGGGCCUGCACUGACGCUCAUGCACGAAAGCGUGGGGAGCAAACAGG